rnacentral:rRNA from 1 species
UACGUAGGUGGCAAGCGUUAUCCGGAAUUAUUGGGCGUAAAGCGCGCGUAGGCGGUUUUUUAAGUCUGAUGUGAAAGCCCACGGCUCAACCGUGGAGGGUCAUUGGAAACGAUGGAAAACUUGAGUGCAGAAGAGGAAAGUGGAAUUCGAUGUGUAGCGGUGAAAUGCGCAGAGAUAUGGAGGAACACCAGUGGCGAAGGCGACUUUCUGGUCUGUAAGCUGACGCUGAUGUGCGAAAGCGUGGGGAUCAAACAGGAUUAGAUACCUGGUAGUCAAGGGCG